rnacentral:tRNA from 1 species
GGAAGAGUGGCUGGAGUGGUCCAUAGCGAGGGUUUGCUAAACCCUUGAGCGAAUAGCUCACGUGGGUUCGAAUCCCACCUCUUCCG